GACGAACGCUGGCGGCGUGCCUAACACAUGCAAGUCGAACGAAGCUCCCUGACGUAAGACUUUGGUCAAGCUGAUGGGAUGACUUAGUGGCGGACGGGUGAGUAACGCGUGAGGAACCUGCCUUUCAGUGGGGGACAACAGUUGGAAACGACUGCUAAUACCGCAUAAUGUACUUUGGGGGCAUCCCCGAGGUACCAAAGAUUUAUUGCUGAAAGAUGGCCUCGCGUCUGAUUAGAUAGUUGGUGAGGUAACGGCCCACCAAGUCGACGAUCAGUAGCCGGACUGAGAGGUUGAACGGCCACAUUGGGACUGAGAUACGGCCCAGACUCCUACGGGAGGCAGCAGUGGGGAAUAUUGGGCAAUGGGGGAAACCCUGACCCAGCAACGCCGCGUGAAGGAAGAAGGCUUUCGGGUUGUAAACUUCUUUUACCAGGGACGAAGGACGUGACGGUACCUGGAGAAAAAGCCACGGCUAACUACGUG
rnacentral:rRNA from 1 species